rnacentral:rRNA from 1 species
AACGAACGCUGGCGGCAUGCCUAACACAUGCAAGUCGAACGAGACCUUCGGGUCUAGUGGCGCACGGGUGCGUAACGCGUGGGAACCUGCCCUUAGGUUCGGAAUAACUCCCCGAAAGGGGUGCUAAUACCGGAUAAUGUCUUCGGACCAAAUAUUUAUCGCCUUUGGAUGGGCCCGCGCUGGAUUAGCUAGUUGGUAGGGUAAAAGCCUACCAAGGCGACGAUCCAUAGCUGGUCUGAGAGGAUGAUCAGCCACACUGGGACUGAGACACGGCCCAGACUCCUACGGGAGGCAGCAGUGGGGAAUAUUGGACAAUGGGCGAAAGCCUGAUCCAGCAAUGCCGCGUGAGUGAUGAAGGCCUUAGGGUUGUAAAGCUCUUUUACCCGGGAUGAUAAUGACAGUACCGGGAGAAUAAGCUCCGGCUAACUCCGUG